rnacentral:rRNA from 1 species
CAGUCGAGCGGAGAUGAGGUGCUUGCACCUUAUCUUAGCGGCGGACGGGUGAGUAAUGCUUAGGAAUCUGCCUAUUAGUGGGGGACAACAUUCCGAAAGGAAUGCUAAUACCGCAUACGCCCUACGGGGGAAAGCAGGGGAUCUUCGGACCUUGCGCUAAUAGAUGAGCCUAAGUCGGAUUAGCUAGUUGGUGGGGUAAAGGCCUACCAAGGCGACGAUCUGUAGCGGGUCUGAGAGGAUGAUCCGCCACACUGGGACUGAGACACGGCCCAGACUCCUACGGGAGGCAGCAGUGGGGAAUAUUGGACAAUGGGCGGAAGCCUGAUCCAGCCAUGCCGCGUGUGUGAAGAAGGCCUUUUGGUUGUAAAGCACUUUAAGCGAGGAGGAGGCUACUUAGAUUAAUACUCUAGGAUAGUGGACGUUACUCGCAGAAUAAGCACCGGCUAACUCUGUGCCAGCAGCCGCGGUAAUACAGAGGGUGCGAGCGUUAAUCGGAUUUACUGGGCGUAAAGCGUGCGUAGGCGGCUGAUUAAGUCGGAUGUGAAAUCCCUGAGCUUAACUUAGGAAUUGCAUUCGAUACUGGUCAGCUAGAGUAUGGGAGAGGAUGGUAGAAUUCCAGGUGUAGCGGUGAAAUGCGUAGAGAUCUGGAGGAAUACCGAUGGCGAAGGCAGCCAUCUGGCCUAAUACUGACGCUGAGGUACGAAAGCAUGGGGAGCAACAGGAUUAGAUACCCUGGUAGUCCAUGCCGUAAACGAUGUCUACUAGCCGUUGGGGCCUUU